rnacentral:lncRNA from 14 species
GAUCUAUAGGUCAGGUCUAUAGGUCAGGUCUAUGGGUCGCACUCACUUGAGGGUCUCCACGGGUUUGGGGUCGAAGUUGCCCUCAGCAUCCACUGCUGCCUUCUUGUCGGUGCGGGAGGAGUAGGAGGCAUCAGCAUAGUCAGGGGGCAGAGCUCCAGCUAUGGCACAGAGACAGGGCAUGGCCAAGCGGGACAGCUCCGGAUCGAAGCGCUGGGGAACCGGAGCAGUGAGACAUGGGAGUGACAUCAGCAUCAUCAUCAUCAUUGACUUCAUCAUCAUCAUCAUCAGCAUCAUCAUCAUCAUUGACAUCAUCAGCAUCAUCAGCAUCAUCAGCAUCAGCAUCAUCAGCAUCAUCAUCAUUGACAUCAGCAUCAGCAUCAUCAUCAUCAUCAUUGACAUCAGCAUCCCCAUUGCCAUUGACAUCAUCAUCUCCAUCCUCAUCCUCAUCACCCCCAUUGUCAUCCCCAUCAUCAUCACCAUUAUCAUCAUCCUCAUCAUCACCACUGUCAUUGACUUCAUCGUCAUCAUCCCCAUCCCCAUCAUCAUCAUCAUCAUCCCCAUCAUCUUCCCAUCAUCCUCUUCCCAUCAUCAACAUCUUCCCAUCAUCAUCUUCCCUUCAUCAUCAUCCUCUUGCCAUCAUCAUCAUCAUCCCAUCAUCAUCCCAUUAUCAUCCCAUUAUCAUCCCAUUAUCAUCCCAUCAUCAUCCCAUCAUCAUCCCAUUAUCAUCCCAUUAUCAUCCCAUUAUCAUCCCAUUAUCAUCCCAUUAUCAUCCCAUUAUCAUCCCAUCCCCAUCCCAUCCCCACCUUGUGCGCCAGUGACUGGAAGAUGCCCCAGAAGAGCUUCCGGGUCAGGUGCAGCUCCUCCUCGGAGCUCACGCCGUGAUUGGGCCACCCGCUGGGCAGGCAGUAGUACUUCCAGCACCGCUCGUAGUGAUUGGUCAGCAGCUGGAGGGAGGGGCAUCCAACUGACCAAUGAGAGGGCUCCUAUGGGGGCACCCUAUAGAUCCCCCCUAUAGACCCCAUCAUGGUCC